rnacentral:rRNA from 1 species
AUUGAACGCUGGCGGCAUGCCUUACACAUGCAAGUCGAACGGUAACAGGGAGCUUGCUCCGCUGACGAGUGGCGAACGGGUGAGUAAUGUAUCGGAACGUACCAUUCAGUGGGGGAUAACGUAGCGAAAGUUACGCUAAUACCGCAUAUUCUGUGAGCAGGAAAGCAGGGGAUCGCAAGACCUUGCGCUGAUUGAGCGGCCGAUAUCAGAUUAGCUAGUUGGUGAGGUAAAGGCUCACCAAGGCGACGAUCUGUAGCGGGUCUGAGAGGAUGAUCCGCCACACUGGAACUGAGACACGGCCCAGACUCCUACGGGGGGCAGCAGUAGGGAAUUUUCGGCAAUGGGCGAAAGCCUGACCGAGCGACGCCGCGUGAGGGACGAAGGCCUUCGGGUUGUAAACCUCUGUCUGGGGGAUGAGAACGGACGGUACCCCGGAGGAACGCCCCGGCUAACUACGUGCCAGCAGCCGCGUAAGGAGUAGUACA